rnacentral:rRNA from 1 species
GACAGAGGGUGCAAACGUUGUUCGGAAUUACUGGGCGUAAAGCGUGUGUAGGCGGUGAGGUAAGUCGGAUGUGAAAGCCCAGGGCUCAACCCUGGAAGUGCACUCGAUACUGCUUCGCUUGAGUACUGGAGAGGUUGGUGGAAUUCUCGGUGUAGAGGUGAAAUUCGUAGAUAUCGAGAGGAACAUCUGUGGCGAAGGCGACACAUGGGCCAUUACUGACGCUGAGGCGCGAAAGCGUGGGGGAGCAAACAGGAUUAGAACUCGAG